CGGAAGGAUCAUUACAGAGUUCAUGCCCUUCGGGGUAGACCUCCCACCCUUUGUAUACAUUGCCUUUGUUGCUUUGGCGGGCCGCCUCGCGGCCACCGGCCCUCGGGCUGGUGCGCGCCCGCCAGAGAAACCCAAACCCUGUCUUACAGUGUCGUCCGAGUAUUAUAUAAUAGUUAAAACUUUCAACAACGGAUCUCUUGGUUCUGGCAUCGAUGAAGAACGCAGCGAAAUGCGAUAAUUAAUGUGAAUUGCAGAAUUUAGUGAAUCAUCGAAUCUUUGAACGCACAUUGCGCCCCUUGGUAUUCCGGGGGGCAUGCCUGUUCGAGCGUCAUUUCAACCCUCAAGCUCUGCUUGGUCUUGGGCCGCGCCGGCAACGGCGGGCCUCAAAAACAGUGGCGGCGCCAUCUGGUCCCUCAGCGUAGUAAUUCUUCUCGCUGCUGGGCCCCGGUGGCUGCUUGCCAACAACCCCAAAUUUUUUAUGGUGACCUCGGAUUCAGGUA
rnacentral:rRNA from 1 species